rnacentral:rRNA from 1 species
GACAGAGGCCUCGAGCGUUAGGCGGAAUCACUGGGCUUAAAGCGCGUGUAGGCGGGUCGUUAAGUGUCCGCGUGAAAUCCCACGGCUCAACCGUGGAACUGCCGGGCAUACUGGCGACCUUGAGGCACUUAGGGGCGAGCGGAACAAAUGGUGGAGCGGUGAAAUGCGUAGAUAUCAUUUGGAACGCCGACGGUGAAAACAGCUCGCUGGGAGUGUCCUGACGCUGAGGAGCGAAAGCCAGGGGAGCAAACAGG